rnacentral:misc_RNA from 1 species
GGAAGGAUCAUUACAGGUAUAAUAAUUACCACAUAACUUAUUUACACAAAAUAAAUGUUCGGUCAACAUAUCAUAAACCGAUACCUGGUCAAUCGAAUACAGGUUAAAAAUCGAUCAGAUAAAAAAAACAUUUAGUUUACCGAAGAACUUUGACCGAUUUUUUUUAACCGGAUCAAAUUUUUCAAAAAUUACAAUUGCCGUCAGUGGAUAUCUCGGCUAUCAGGUCGAUGAAGAGCGCAGCGAAAUGCGUUACCUAGUGUGACAUGCAUACACUCGUGAAUCACCGACAUCUUGAACGUAACUGACAAAGCUUGCGUAAGCGAGCUUUAAUCACGACCGAGUGCCAACAUUAAACCACAAAGACUGAGGGGCGUCUCUUACCCAAAGAUUACACGGUCACCUAUAAGUAUGGAAGGACUGACGUAUCUCUUCUACCGAGAUACACAGUAUACUAUAGGAAGGACAUGUAUGUCUUGAAGUGCAUGGGGACGCUAUCCUUUAAAUUUAACCGAAGUCACGUACAACCAUUAUCGGACAAAAUUUUUUUUGACCUAUAAACCGUGACUGGGAACCUAAAUCUCGGAUAUACACGAGAAAAUUUAUAACCGAGAUUAAAUACCUCGGUCAUAUUUGACCUCGAUCGUGAUAGACUACCCGCUGAAUUUAAGCAUAUCAAUAAGCGGAGGAAAAGAAAAUAACAAUGAUUCCCCGAGUAACUGCGAGUGAAACGGGAGAAGCGCAUCCUGAAUCCGGUGGUUUUUUUAACUAUUGGAGUUGUGGGGUAGUGAACGUAACCAGGGGAGGGAGCUGAAUGAACUUAUCUGGAACGGUAGACCACAGAGGGUUACAGUCCCGUAAUUCGGAUGACUUCUUCGUACGGUUAUGAUUCCGCGAGUCGCGUUGCCUGAGAUCGCAACGCUAAACGGGGGUAUGUUUCCCCGAACGCUAAAUAUUACUGAUAGACCGAUAGCGAACAAGUACCGUGAGGGAAAGGUCAAAAGAACUCUGAAAAGAGAGUUAAAAGAACUUGAAACUGACGUCAAGGAAGCGGUUCGGAAACUUACGUUGGACCAUUUGAUUCCCGGUGAAUCUAUCUUGAUUUGAUCGUAUCCGUGUGAAGGAUUAGCUUGCCGGAUAUUUAAAUCAGGGUAGUUUAGCCGGUACUUCAAGUACCAACACCCGCAAUACCGGUGAUUGACCCACAAUUGCUGUUACUGUACUUCUGUUGGAGACAACAAGGGAACUAACGGAUCAUUAGGUCAAACACUGAUGGAAAAGUAGCGAGGGCCUUUAAUGGCAAGCCUAUGCGGUGACUUGCGUGUAUCAUUGGAAAGACUCUUUAGAGACGAUUCUUGGUGCGCGUAACAUAACUGAUACGGUUAUCCUUGUUAUCGGGCAAAGUAUCCUAACCGACCCGUCUUGAAACACGGACCAAGGAGUCCAACACCUAUGCGAGUGAAUCAGUAAUUAAACUGAUACGCGUAAUGAAAGUAAUUCGGUGAAGCCCUUAAGAAAGGCAGCAACCGAUACCGACACGAUUAUUUAUAAACGAGUUUGAGUAUGAGCAUAGGUGUUGGGACCCGAAAGAUAGUGAACUAUACCCGGGCAGAGUGAAGCCAGAAGAAAUUCUGGUGGAAGCUCGUAGAGAUACUGACGUGCAAAUCGUUCUCGGGAUCCAGGUAUAGCGGCGAAAGACUAAUCGAACUGUCUAGUAGCUGGUUUCCGC